rnacentral:rRNA from 1 species
UACGUAGGGGGCAAGCGUUGUCCGGAAUCAUUGGGCGUAAAGCGCGUGUAGGCGGCUGAACAAGUCUGGUGUGAAAUCUUCACCGCUCAACGGGAAGGGGUCACUGGAAACUGUUCAGCUUGAGUAUGGUAGAGGCAAGCGGAAUUCCUGGUGUAGCGGUGGAAUGUGUAGAUAUCAGGAAGAACACCGGUGGCGAAGGCGGCUUGCUGGGCCAUCACUGACGCUGAGACACGAAAGCGUGGGGAGCAAACGGG